rfam:Ictidomys tridecemlineatus contig000714, whole genome shotgun sequence.
UGGGUUGUGGCUCAGAGGUCGAGUACUUGCUUACCAUGCAUGAGGCACUGGGUUCUAUCCUCAGCACCACAU